GAUGUGAUGAUUCGCGCACGUGACUCGCUCUUUGUUACAGACUCCACCUCUUUCACGUGAACGCGCUUUAAGCCGAAUUAGAAAAUCCAGGGUUAACAAAGCUCGCUGAUAGACAGCUCAAUGACACCGUUUACCUUUGCCCGCUUCUGGUUUUUUCGAGGCUAACUGAUGAUGGGACUCGUGCCGUAACUAACCGUGGCAUCGAUCAAGCUCGGCUUUACUCCGUCUCGCGACCGCGGGUUACGAUUUGAUUACUAAAUCUAGCAUUGAAACAUCUCGGAUAACUGCGCGUCCCCGCUCCUCCACAAAGGGAAGAUCAGUCGCACGCAGAAACCCGGAUCGAAAUCCAUGAACGCAGACGGAGAUUUUCAGAUAAUGAGGAAACAGGAGAGGGCGCAUUUUUUCAGCUCCAAAGAGCAGGAGCUCAUUCUGAAGUUGUAUGAAGAGGAGAGAGAGAUACUAACAGCUAAAUCCAACACCACCAGUGCCUCUAAACUCAGAGAGGAAGCCUGGCAGAGAAUUGCUGAUAAAAUAAAUGCGGUCUCAGACAGUGGCUACAAAAGGACAUGGCAGCAAGUAAAAGUCAAACACAAGAACAUUGUGCAAACAGCAAAAAGGAAAAGGGUUGCAAUGAUGAGAAACGAGGGCGGCUCGGCGACCCCGUCUCUGAACUCGGGUGAGGACGACGUGCUGCAUCACAAAGACAAUGGGCUGAGGGUGGAGGUUCUCCCUGGAGGCGCCUGUAUUGACCCAGCAGCUGUGUCUGACAGCUCUUUCAUGAGCGUGUCGGGCCACCCUGUCCUGCUGCUGCCCAUAACAAAGACUGAACCAGAGAGCCUCAGCAGCGACGAGACGGACAUUAGUGACACUCAGUUUGAAGGGGACGUUCACGGCAGCAGCUUGCAGGAGGGCGCUAACGCGGCCGGGGCUACAGCUGGUGGCAGAAGCGGAGAGAAGCAGACAGAAAACCUCAGGUCUCUCUACUGCUCCUACCUCAAGAAGGAGAUUGAGAACCGGGACCAAGAGAUGGCUUACAGAGCACUUAAAAUGAGGAAGCUGGAGAAAGAAAUCUUAUUACUUGACAAGCAACUGAUGUGAUUGCAAGGAAAAAACAAAAGUACUUCUAUCCUUUUAUGUGGAAAAACAAGAAUUUGUUGAAAUGACAUGUUGCCUUUUACCCCGGCACGCUCACAGAGGUGUGUUUAGGUUGUAGUUGGCUGCAGCUGUAGGCAGCAUAAUCUCUUACAUGCUGGUCAGGGUUGUAAUGAUACAUGUCACUACCCUUUUUUUUUGCAAUAUUGCAUCACACAACUUAUGCAACGGUGCUGAUGCUGCCGUACACCGAUUCUCAGACCACGAGAGUGUUUAAAGCGCACUGAUGGAAGGCAGCAUGGCUGCUUGAGGGUUCACAGUAGCAUGUAAGUGGAGCCUGUGAGAGCACCAUGUUCACUGUACUCUACCACAGCAGGUUUAAAUGAACGAAUGCAACAACAGAUGGCUUUAAUGUCAGAAGAGACUUUUAGGGCCUUUUAUAUGUAUUUGUGACAACUGGUCCAAAUCUUAUGCUUAAAAUUUUAAAUUGAAAUUCUCAAGCUCCUUGGAAAACAUCCUGAGGUCCAGGAAAGAUGUGACAGAGAGUUCUUGCUGAUCCACUUUUAUUAACCUUUCUCUGAAGUCACAUUAAUGGAUGCCGUUGCUAAGCAGAUGCAGCUAAUGCAGUCGGUGUUCCACCAGAACCCUCGUUCUGUUUUGAUGAUUUUAUUCCGGCCAGUUGUGGUUAUUUAUAGAGAUACUUCAUUAAACCACACAGUGUCUCACACAAGGAGACAUCUUCAUGACAUGACAGAUUUGUAACAGUUCAUCAUUUUCUUGCGGUUGCCUAAACGAAGCUCAGCGCGGGAGAUUAUGUGAUGACUUGCGUCAUUUCUCAGUCAUGUUGGUUUUUUAAUACAGGACGCUCCAGCCUAUCCUCUGCUAAAGGAUAGGAAGCAUCUGAGCAUCUUUAGCGUCCAAGGAAUUUCACCAGCUCUUAUCAUGGCUGCCAUGCAGAUACAUCUGAGUCACUUUGCUCAGUUGGAAACCUUCUACAGCAAAGCUGACUCUUUGUUUUUAAUCACCAGCACGCAGAAAAUUGGUGCUAACUGUUCUGUCACUGCUGGAGGCCUCCUAAUAAACAGGCCGCUGGGUCACGUGAUUUUCAAACGCAUAAACUUCGCAGUUUAUAAGAAUCGUUGUCUGCUCGUUGUCUAUGAACAGCUCUAACUCUCUGACAUUUAUCUCCAAAGAGUGAUGUAAAAAUCAUGAGGUUCAGAGUAGAAAAAAGUCAACUGUUAAUCAUUAUGUUGAUUAAAUAUUAAUUUUGGUAAAAGUGUGUCUGCUUAGUGUAACUAUUACUACUUCAUAUCAUCGCUGUUGAGUCCGGUGUGCCGGAGAAUGGGUUGUGAAGACUUUUAUACAGAGACAGGUGUGUCCUUGGACUCCCACAGUGCACUGCGCGCCUGUUUGUGGGUCCAGAGUUCGCCGUUAGGCGUGGACAUUGCCCAGCAGCUGCACGUCCUCAGGAGGCUUGGACACUAAAUCAAAAUGUCUGGGCUGGACUGAGAGUGAAAACAGCGCUUCCUCGCCAAAAAUAUUAAACUCGGGUCCCUCCUUUUGAACAGCUGCAUGCUUAAACGUCUCACUCUGUCACCUGAUAAGCAGCUGAGUCCAGUGUCAUCGCGCUUUCCUGCAGCCAUGGGCUGGCUAGCGGUGCGCGUUCACGGCCCACGAAUGGUAGCCAUCAUUAAUCAAGAGCAGAGAAACUGAUGUGCGAUGGCUCUGCGGAGGAAAAUGUGAAGUCAAAGCGGCUGUAAGAUGUAGAGCGUUUCAAAAUUUUCCGAUCCAGUCCCAGUGGAAACACGCGUGAUGCUGAGAGGGGCUCGUUACAAAUGCGUUCUUAUUGCGCAGUUUUAAAUCCACGCUCGACCUUUAACACCGUGCGCGAGAGUGGAGCUGCUGGAGGUCACCUUUCCUGCCAAAAGCCUCUGGCACUGCCUUUCCCAGGAUGAAGAGCACGCGGGCAUCUCACGUUUCCAGGCUUAUGAUCGGUUGUUGUCGAAGUCUUAUGGAGCAAUACACAGAAACGGUCCAUGUAAUGUGCCACCGGUUUAAUUUAAAAAUAAAAUACAAUAAAAACAGAAC
ensembl:lncRNA